ACUUGAUGGUGUGGGCAUUUAUGUAAUAUGUCCCUAAAGCGCUCCUAGGACUCAAAAAAUAGUUCUCCAUUUAACUGUGAGAAACUAGUGAUGGCCCUUUGCAGCU